UGUAUGAUUGAUAUCUAUUAUAAAAAAAAUGGUGCUCAGAGUAAAGCGGUAUUAUAAAAUCCUCGACUACGAUCCCGGCGUGCCGUGAUUUGAGCAAGAAUUCAACAUCAUCAAGUGUGUAGUGUGUUAUACAUUUUAUUAUGCCGGAAUAGCAUAUUAGAUUGACGCAAUAUACUCACGUCAGGCGAAAAAUUUACACUUACUUACAUUACGCACACAUAAAAUAUAUAAUUACACGACUAUCUAUUUAUAAAUAAGUUAUAAUCGGCAAAAGAAAAAAAAAGAAAAAAACAAUUGUUAUAAAUAUUUAAUUACUGCCAUGAAUAAACCGAGAAAUUUUUUUUUUUAGCAUUCAUCAAUUAAUUUAAAAGACUAUUAAUAUACAAGUGUACGUACACGUGACGAGCACACGUUAUUUUUCAUAACUCCAAUUCAUAAAUUCGUGACAAAACUAUGGUUCUAUUAAUAACCGACACUAGUGGCGAUGAAGAUCAAAAAGUAUGUUUUUGAAUAAAAAAUUCUAGUUCACGUAUCAGAUCAGAGGAAAAAAUGUACUGAGAAGAAGUAAAAAAAGGCGGAAAAAAUUGAACACUGAUUGCUACUUGACUGAGCAGCUAGAGGUACAGAUGGCAACGAAUAGCCAGCUCGACGUUAUAGUGGCGGAAUUUAAGACUAACAUACGUAUAUAUCUAUACAGACAUCUAUACAUCUUGUUUCUUUCUCAUUCUUUAUUCAAACUGUCUUUAUCUUUUUGUCUUUCAUUUUUGCUCUCGCGUUAACGCGUCUCUCCCUCACUGUAGAGAGACAAUUACCUCCGCAUCACUCUACUCUACUACCUCAUUGGGUUUCUUUGUGGCUUUCUCUCAAUAAGGAUUUUUAAGCAACACUGACACACAGGUAGACGUUUUCGUUUUGUCUCAGUCAUUGAGUGGAACCAUCAGGAGGAUUAACGAAUUCGAAAUGAAACGGCAAAAUUUUAAUUAAAUGCUGGGUUGAAAUGAAGGCUGGAAAAAUUUAUAUAAAAUUUAAAAAAAUAAACAAACUUUCCUUGGUAUUUUUGCCGGUACGGUUGUGCGCGAUGAUGAGAAGGAAUAAAAAUAAAAUAAAAAAUGUGCAAGGGUCAGGAGUAUACUGAAAACAUCAGGUAAAGAGAGAAGAAUACUGUGUACUGAUACCUUACAAAAGUACACCUGAGAGAAUUCAUCCAUGUCGAAGUAAAGGGACUUUUAACAACUUGUAACCGAUACCUGAGUGUACUGAAAUAAAUAUAAUACUGAAUC